UUUCCGUAGGUGAACCUGCGGAAGGAUCAUUACCAAAAACAUUGACACCAUAGUGGACAUGGACGAUGGUGGGCAGCAGCAAGCAAGUGUGUGUGUGUGCGUGGAGGAUGUGUGUGGGGGGGGAUGGGAAGAGUUGUUGUGUGUGUAUGUGUGAGGCGGCAUGCCUCGCACGCCACGCACUCUCUCUCUCUCUCUCUCCUCUCUUCCUCUCUGCAUGCUGCUGCUUGCGGGCUCUGCCUACCGCGGCCAAUACUUGAACAACAUCUUAUUAUACAUUGACAACCAAUACAACACAACUUUUAACAAUGGAUCUCUAGGCUCUU
rnacentral:misc_RNA from 1 species